AUGCGCUCCGGCGUAGUAGCAGCUCAUCACCUCCUGCAGGGCCUGCGCUGCCGGAAGCUCCAUCGCUGUCACCUCGCCAGCGCCGCCGGCGAACUCGCCAUGGCCGACGCCGCCGCAGCCCUCCUCGUGCUGCACGAGUGCGGCCUGGUACAGGCUGACCUGCGCCUUGAGGAACUUGACGUAGUGGAUGGCCUGCUCCAGCAUGGAGACGGUGUCCAUCUUGCUGCCGCCGGGCACGAGACUGCGGAGCACGCGGAAGCGAUCGCUAAUCCGGUGCCGACGCUCCCGCGCCGCAACGCUCUGGGGGUCAGUCGAGAGCUUCGCGCCGGGGCGGCGCCGUCCGGCACCGCCCCUGCUGACCCGGCUCUCCGCGAGCGCGGCGGCCGGGUAGUGGUGGAGGAGGAGAGGCGGCUGCGAGUGGACGGGAAAGCUGUAGCCGUGUGGGUCAUGGAUGUUUUCGUAGUGAUAUGGAUCCAUGGCAAGCUAGGAAGGAUGCCUGGCUAG
rnacentral:rRNA from 1 species